UAAAACGUAGGGGGCAAGCGUUGCCCGGAUUCACUGGGCGUAAAGCGGGUGUAGGCGGUUCUCUAAGUCGGAUGUGAAAUUUCGCGGCCCAACCGCGAAACUGCAUCCGAUACUGGGGAACUUGAGGACGGUAGAGGUCGGUGGAAUUCCAGGUGUACCGGUGAAAUGGGCAGAUAUCUGGAGGAACACCAGUGGCGAAGGCGGCCGACUGGGCCGAUCCUGACGCUGAGACCCGAAAGCUAGGGUAGCGAACCGGAUUAGAUACCCGGGUAGUCCUAGCCGUAAACGGUGCGAACUAGGUGUGGGGGCUGUCAUGGCCUCCGUGCCGAAGCUAACGCAUUAAGUUCGCCGCCUGGGGAGUACGGCCGCAAGGCUA
rnacentral:rRNA from 1 species